GAAAGAACCAAUCAGGACUGCCUUGUUGCACGAUCCAAAUUUUCUUCAAAACUUGGCAUUUUCUACGUGUAGCUUGCUAGUUCCAAGUUUGCAUUUUG